UACGUAGGGUGCAAGCGUUGUCCGGAAUUAUUGGGCGUAAAGAGCUCGUAGGCGGUCUGUCGCGUCGGCUGUGAAAACCCGGGGCUCAACCCCGGGCCUGCAGUCGAUACGGGCAGACUAGAGUGCGGUAGGGGAGACUGGAAUUCCUGGUGUAGCGGUGAAAUGCGUAGAGAUCGGGAGGAACAUCUGUGGCGAAGGCGGCCAUCUGGACCAGCACUGACACUGAGGCACAAAAAGCGUGGGGAGCAAACAGG
rnacentral:rRNA from 1 species